UACGUAGGUGACAAGCGUUGUCCGGAUUUACUGGGCGUAAAGAGCGCGCAGGCGGUCGAUCAAGUCGAGUGUGAAAGCCCCCGGCUCAACUGGGGAGGGUCAUUCGAUACUGAUCGACUCGAAGGCAGGAGAGGGUAGUGGAAUUCCCGGUGUAGUGGUGAAAUGCGUAGAUAUCGGGAGGAACACCAGUGGCGAAGGCGACUACCUGGCCUGUUCUUGACGCUGAGGCGCGAAAGCUAGGGUAGCAAACGGGG
rnacentral:rRNA from 1 species